ACCUACGGGGGGCAGCAGUAGGGAAUCUUGCACAAUGGGCGAAAGCCUGAUGCAGCAACGCCGCGUGCGCGAUGAAGGCCUUCGGGUCGUAAAGCGCUUUUCGGGGAGAUGAGGAAGGACAGUAUCCCCGGAAUAAGUCUCGGCUAACUACGUGCCAGCAGCCGCGGUAAAACGUAGGAGGCAAGCGUUAUCCGAAUUUACUGGGCGUAAAGCGUGUGCAGGCGGUUCGGUAAGUUGGAUGUGAAAUCUCCUGGCUCAACUGGGAGAGGUCGUUCAAGACUGUCGGACUAGAGGAUGGUAGAGGGAGGUGGAAUUCCGGGUGUAGUGGUGAAAUGCGUAGAUAUCCGGAGGAACACCUGUGGCGAAAGCGGCCUCCUGGACCAUGCCUGACGCUCAUACACGAAAGCUAGGGGAGCGAACGGGAUUAGAUACCCCGGUAGU
rnacentral:rRNA from 1 species